AAGGUAGCUAGCUCUCCAGUAACAGGGUUGGAGUGGAAACCUACAGGAAGGUAGCUGGCUCUCCAGUAACAGGGUUGGAGUGGAAACCUACAGGAAGGUAGCUAGCUCUCCAGUAACAGGGUUGGAGUGGAAACCUACAGGAAGGUAGCUAGCUCUCCAGUAACAGGGUUGGAGUGGAAACCUACAGGAAGGUAGCUGGCUCUCCAGUAACAGGGUUGGAGUGGAAACCUACAGGAAGGUAGCUGGCUCUCCAGUAACAGGGUUGGAGUGGAAACCUACAGGAAGGUACCUGGCUCUCCAGUAACAGGGUUGGAGUGGAAACCUACAGGAAAGUAGCUGGCUCUCCAGUAACAGGGUUGGAGUGGAAACCUACAGAAUGGUAGCUGGCUCUCCAGUAACAGGGUUGGAGUGGAAACCUACAGGAAGGUAGCUAGCUCUCCAGUAACAGGGUUGGAGUGGAAACCUACAGGAAGGUAGCUGGCUCUCCAGUAACAGGGUUGGAGUGGAAACCUACAGGAAGGUAGCUGGCUCUCCAGUAACAGGGUUGGAGUGGAAACCUACAGGAAGGUAGCUGGCUCUCCAGUAACAGGGUUGGAGUGGAAACCUACAGAAGGGUAGCUAGCUCUCCAGUAACAGGGUUGGAGUGGAAACCUACAGAAGGGUAGCUAGCUCUCCAGUAACAGGGUUGGAGUGGAAACCUACAGAAGGGUAGCUAGCUCUCCAGUAACAGGGUUGGAGUGGAAACCUACAGAAGGGUAGCUAGCUCUCCAGUAACAGGGUUGGAGUGGAAACCUACAGAAGGGUAGCUAGCUCUCCAGUAACAGGGUUGGAGUGGAAACCUACAGAAGGGUAGCUAGCUCUCCAGUAACAGGGUUGGAGUGGAAACCUACAGAAGGGUAGCUAGCUCUCCAGUAACAGGGUUGGAGUGGAAACCUACAGAAGGGUAGCUAGCUCUCCAGUAACAGGGUUGCAUACAUAUAAUUGUUGCAUUUGUACUGUAUGAAUUACUGUAUGAAUUGCAUAAUGUCACCUAUCUACAGUAUAUAGUCAAUUCCCCAAUUUAAUUUACAUUUUGGCACACAAAGUGUCAUUUAGCAGUGUAGCAAUGGCUCUAAUCACAAAUUGUUUUUUAUUGCGGAUCUUAGUAAAUAGGUACAAGGACUUGUUACAAAGUACGUUUUGAGAAGACCACUUUCUUAUCUUCUCAAUGUAGUAAAGUACAUAUUUAGAUUUAUUUUGAACUAAAAUGUAUGUUUGGAUAGUUAAUGACAUUUGCAGGUUAUUUUUUCAUUAAAUAACUAUGUACAUAAUUAGUGGCUUAACUAUUUCACAUCAAUUGUAAUAAUGAAAGUAAAUUUACUAAUUUCAAAA